UCAGUCAAGAAAGUAUUUUCU
rnacentral:miRNA from 1 species